rnacentral:lncRNA from 1 species
GGAAGGGUUUAUAACUUCAGGUGGAUGCUGAACAGAUAAUUCUGCAGAGCAAGCUUUAUAAAAAGCCAAAGUAGAUGAUGUGGGGUAGAGGGUGAAAGGGGAUGAGUGAAGGCUCCUAGAAUGAAGCUCCAACUUUCCAACUUGAGAGUUCAGUGAUCAGAGGCAUAUUUCAAUGUCUUUUUAGGUGAGAUAUAUAACAUACCUUUCCUAACCCAUGAUAUUUUUAAGAUUAAAAACUGAAGGUGAGUAAAUCUUGAAACUGAAACACGAUGCAAAUCUUGAAGCAUGAAGCAAAUAUUAAUAAUUAUUCUCACUGGUCUUCAUGCUAGUAAUGAUGAUGCCAUUGAAUCUUGAAGGUCCUUAGUAUUGAAGAAUCUGCUAUCAACAAGUAUACAAGCAUAGAAGGGCACAGACGUUAAAUGUUCUUGGACAAGUAUUACUGAUGUUACCUGGAAGUGGUAGAAAUGAGACCCAGGGAGAAUGUUCCAUUUGAGGAAGAGGGGAUACUGAUGCCAUAUGGCUGUGAUCAUCUUCCUAUAUCUCAAAGACUUUGCCCUAAACAUUGUUGCAUUUCCUUAAAGAAAAGAUCAAGAGUUGAGAUUAAACUUGACUUAAAACGCCAGAUAUUUGCCAGAACCUCUAGGAAAUUGAUGAAAUAUUCCUGUCUGAAGGCUGCAACCAAACAUGAUCUCAUCCAUAUCAGCAGCAUUACUAAUAAAACACCAAGGUGCUUCCUGACCUCCAGGAGAGAUGUGUUAAAUUGGAUGGCAGAAAUAAGUCACUGGAACAAAAUGCUUGAGAAAGAACCUGCUCUGCUCCCUACUUUCUUAAAAAUACACUCACAUGUUCUCCCAUAUACCAAAACAAUUAUUCUAGAUUGGAGAUAUUUAAGGAUUCACACUUACGUAAAGGUAGAGAAGACUGCUUUUGAAGCUCUGUGGCUGAUCAACAACAUGUUUUAAAAGGCUUUUGAUGUAUACAUGGCUCAUUAAGUAAAGGUCAAAAUUGGACAAUGUCCUGUUAAUUUCCUUUUGCUAGAAAAAUCAAUAUCUGCAUCAACAUUCAUUAAAUUUGACAGAAGCUAAGAAAGUUAGAUGUGAAAUGUAAAUCAAUACUUAUUCCUGGUAGGAUUAACUUGCUGUACAGAGAAUAUAAAGCAUCAAUUCUUUAUACACAUUGUUCCACCCAAUAUUCCACUCUGGCUUUAGGGAGGCCACAUUUUGCCUUUGUGGCCUUCAACCAUAAUCUGGUUUUGGGUUUCUGUUAGCUGGAG